AGAACGAACGCUGGCGGCAGGCCUCAAACAUGCAAGUCUAGGGGGUGUAGCAAUACAUCACCGGCGGACGGGUGCGUAACACGUGGGAAUAUACCUUUUGGUUCGGAACAACGCAGGGAAACUUGCGCUAAUACCGAAUGUGCCCUUACGGGGAAAGAUUAAUCGCCAAAGGAUUAGCCCGCGUAGGAUUAGCUAGUUGGUGAGGUAAUGGCUCACCAAGGCUCCGAUCCUUAGCUGUUCUGAGAGGAAGAUCAGCCACACUGGGACUGAGACACGGCCCAGACUCCUACGGGAGGCAGCAGUUGGGAAUCUUGGACAAUGGGGGAAACCCUGAUCCAGCCAUGCCGCGUGAGUGAUGAAGGCCUUCGGGUUGUAAAACUCUUUCGACGGGGACGAUAAUGACGGUACCGUAGAAGAAGCUCCGGCUAACUUCGUGCCAGCAGCCGC
rnacentral:rRNA from 1 species